rnacentral:tRNA from 1 species
GAGAAAGACCUAAAAGUUAUAAGUUCUGCUAAUUCUUAUAAAUCGAGGUUAAAUUCCUCGACUUACUCA